UACAGAGGUCCCGAGCGUUGUUCGGAUUCAUUGGGCGUAAAGGGUGCGUAGGCGGCGGAGCAAGUCUGAUGUGAAAUCCCGGGGCUCAACCCCGGAACUGCAUUGGAUACUGCUUUGCUAGAGUACUGGAGAGGAGACUGGAAUUUACGGUGUAGCGGUGAAAUGCGUAGAUAUCGUAAGGAAGACCAGUGGCGAAGGCGGGUCUCUGGACAGUUCCUGACGCUGAGGCACGAAGGUCAGGGGAGCAAACGGG
rnacentral:rRNA from 1 species